rnacentral:tRNA from 1 species
AUUACUUUGGCAGAUAAGUGUGAUAAAUUUAGAAUUUAAGUAUAUAUUAGUUAAGGAUAUAAGUAAUA